AUGGCUAUGGAGAGGUUCUUCACGGCGCUCGUCUUCUGCGAGGCACCGCUGGACGGCUACGGCACGUCGGUGCUCACCGCCGGCACGGUCAAAAGGCUGGUCUCGGGUGGUGGUGACGCGACGAAGCCGUUGGUGGCUAUCAAGCCGGACGCUGAGAAGGGGCAGGGUUUCUUCACUGGCAAGCAGAUGGCGCAGCGGCGUGCUGGGUUCGAGCUCGCGUUCGACGGCCUCAAUUGCUUUGACACCGUCGUCAUGCACUGA
rnacentral:rRNA from 1 species